CCCUUAGAUGUUCUGGGCUGCACACGUGCUACACUGGCAGGUUCAGCGAGCUUCAUGCCCUGAUCUGAAAGGAAUGGGAAAUCUUUUCAAAACCUGCCGUGCUUGGGAUAGAUGUUUGCAAUUAUUCAUCUUCAACGAGGAUUGCCUUGUAAGCGCACGUCAUCAGCGUGCAUUGAAUACGACCCUGUAUUCUGUACACACCGCCCGUCGCUCCUACCGAUUGAAGUUUUCGGUGAGUUGACAGGAGGAUUUUUUUGAAACUGGUUCGCCAGUGGAUUUUAGAUCCAAAUGCCAACGAAUCGAUGCCUUUAGAGGAAGGAGAAGUCGUAACA
rnacentral:rRNA from 1 species